rnacentral:rRNA from 1 species
AAAAUAUACAUCAUUAAGCGAGGAAAAGAAACUAACCAGGAUUCUCCUAGUAACGGCGAGUGAACGGAGAUUAGCCCAGCACCGAAGCCUAUCUGCUCUUGUGGACAAGGCCAUGUGGUGUUCAGGCGUAAACCUGGGGAUGCUCGUCUAUUCGAAGUCCAACUCCGAUUCUGGCUUUGGAUUUGUCCCAUAGGAGGGUGAAAGGCCCGUUCGAAUAGACAUUACAGUUAUUGAGCAUCCCUCAGAUGUUUGCGCUUUCGAGUCGGAUUGCUUGAGAAUGCAGUCCAAAGCGGGUGGUAAACUCCAUCCAAGGCUAAAUACUGGCACGAGUCCGAUAGUAGACAAGUACCGUGAGGGAAAGUUGAAAAGUACUCUGAAGAGAGAGUAAAUAGUACGUGAAACCGCUCGUAUGGAAGCUGGUGGAGUCCAACUUCUUGCUGUGGCAAUUGCCGUAGCUACCAUUUGUUCUUGGGACAUGGAAAUGAUGGCUUGGAAAUAGCCAGUUGGUUCGCCAACUUGGUCAUUCUGGGUAGUAUGAUUGAUUGUUUCCUAUCUCCCGGUAGCUGCGUUAUUUGCCAUGGCUAAUAUCACAAUCAAUGCGCUUGUGGUGCUCGAUAGUCUAACUACGUUUUAGAGGACUUCAUGUUCGCUAAGCGUGGGACGGCAGGUGGUAGCACUGUGGUCUUGGCCACUAUGUUACUUAUACUGGUUUUAAUCUGCUGAUUAUCGAGCAUUCGAGACCAUCUGGUGCAUUGUUCUUAUGAUGGCCGUUGCCCACGGGUUCCGGUCACAAGAGUUGUGAUCUCGAGGUAAACUUCCCCCGACCGUGAGAAAAACGGGGGCGCAGACAACAAAGUGGCG